rnacentral:lncRNA from 1 species
AUAAUAGCUAUCAUUCUAGCAUUUGAAUGAUACCUUUAGGGAUCUUAAUAGUAGGGGUGUAGGUCACCUAUUGGGUUGUUUGAGGUUGUUGAGACUAGAUUGUUUGUCCCUAAUUUAGUUCAUCAAGCCAUGGAUAGGGUGGAAGUGAUUAGAGAAAGACUUAAGACUGCUAAGUGUUGACAAAAGUCUUAUGAGGAUGUGAGACGAAUAGAGUU